rfam:Myotis davidii contig121371, whole genome shotgun sequence.
GGGAGUUCUCGGGUGAUGCACCCUGCAAUCAGGCUCCCUCCUCUCUGGUUCCAGGUGUGUCACCUGAGAACUGCA